rnacentral:lncRNA from 1 species
AAAAUCCUAUUAUUUUUUAACAUACAUCAAUCUAAUCUAGUCAUUUUUCCAUCCAGCUGGAGCUAAUUUUGUUAACUUGAAAGUUUAGAUGAUUAAUUAAAAAUUAAAAUAAAAUACAUAUUAUUUAAAAAUUAAAUUUUAAGAAAUAGUGACGAUUAAUUAUAAACUUUAGCUUUCUAUUUUACCCUCCUUCUCUUUCUCCCCCCACUGUAAAUUAAACCUCCAUGCAGUGGCUCCCAAACUACAACCAUCAAGAAAACCAUCACCACCACCAACAUAUACAGGCACCGAGAAAACCACCACCACUAACAUGCAAUAACAAAAAGACACAGACAUAUAGUUUGGUGGGGUUUGGUGUGUCACAGAUUUGGGUUUCCCUAGCAAUGAUGGAGACUAUCUCAUAGCCGACGACAUCAAGGACGGAGAAGAAGACAUCAACCAUGACGUUGAGGGGACCAAAGUGCCCUAGUGUCGCUGAGAAGUUGUUUUUCGGUGGUGGGAGAAAGUUUCCGACACGGUCGACUCUGACCGUAGCCUGACAAUUCUAACCAUGCAUGUCAACUUAAUUGAAUAGAAAUGACCUAAUUGAGGCAUUUUUGAAAAUUAAAGAAUUUGAUUAGAGCUUUUAAAAAAUAUGGAGACCUAAUUGAGUAUUUUUCUAUAAUUAGAAACCAAAUCAAAUAUUAAUCCUAAUUAUAAUAAACUUUAUACUGUAGUUUAAAAUUGUAACUAUAAUUUCAAUUUUGUAAGAAUCAGAAUUGAAUUAGAAUUAUAUAUAUAUAUAAAGAAAAAAAGUUAGAAUCAAACUCGAAAUUGA